GUAUUGUAUGAAAGGAGAGAAAGUUAGCACCCCCCUUGAGAAGGAUGGAAGACGUCCUAGGGGCCUUUACAACACAUAGCUUUUUUUUUUUUUUAAGACCAAAAAGUAAGUUAU
rnacentral:ncRNA from 1 species